AGUGAUUUUACGUAUACAUUUUAAGCACUUAUUGACUUAUUUUAUAAGUAAUUUGAAGUAAAAAUCCCAACUAUUUGUAAAUAUUAGUCUUUACUAGCAAAUUAGUAUUUUAACUAUUUUCACCUAUUUCACUUCACUUAUGUUGAUAUAUCUCAUAGUUUAUAAUAAUAGAUGCUAUAUAUUAUAGUUAUAUAUUAUUAGUUUAUAAUAAUAGAUGCUAUAUAUUACAGGUUCUUAAAGAAAAAGAAAAACAAAAGAAAAUAGAAGAAAAAAGAAAGAAAGCAGAAAACAAGUGGCAAGAAAAGGCAAGAGAAAGAGAGGCUGUGCUCACAAGUGGAACAAUACCUUGCAGUGAAGUAAGGUUUUCUUAAAAGCCUAUAAAAUAUGCAAUAGCCACUCCAUUCAAGUCACUCUCACAACACGCCCAACACCAAAAGAAACAGGGAGGACUGAACGCAAAACAGAGAGGAGAGCACGGAAGAAACGAGAGCAAGGCAAAGGUGGGAUGCACGCCAACCGUUCGAGAAAUCGACACCGGUGUUGUUAUUUCAUCUCUUUUCUUCUCAUUUGUGUAAAGCUACCAUGGUAAUGAGUAGCUAAAGACACUUUUGUUGGGAUUAGGUGUAAAUUACUCUAUUAGUAUGUGUUUCUAUUGAUCAUGGUUUUAUAUAUGGUUUUAGUUGUCUCUCAA